rnacentral:tRNA from 1 species
GGGCGUGUAGUCUAGAUUGGAUAAGGCGCUUGCCUGCGGAGCAAGAUUCCUCAGGUUCAAAUCCUGACACGCCCGCCA